UAAUACAGAGGUCCCAAGCGUUGUUCGGAUUCACUGGGCGUAAAGGGUGCGUAGGCGGUCGGGUAAGUUUGAUGUGAAAUCUCUGGGCUUAACCCAGAAAUGGCAUUGAAUACUAUUCGGCUAGAGAGUCGGAGGGGGGACUGGAAUACUUGGUGUAGCAGUGAAAUGCGUAGAUAUCAAGUGGAACACCAGUGGCGAAGGCGAGUCCCUGGACGAUUUCUGACGCUGAGGCACGAAAGCUAGGGGAGCAAACAGGAUUAGAUACCCUGGUAGUCCUAGCUGUAAACGGUGCACGUUUGCUGUAAAAGGAAUCGACCCCUUUUGUGGCGAAGCUAACGCGUUAAACGUGCCGCCUGGGAAGUACGGUCGCAAGAUUA
rnacentral:rRNA from 1 species